CUAACAAGGAUUCCCCUAGUAACGGCGAGUGAAGCGGGAACAGCUCAAAUUUGUAAUCUGGCGGCCUUCGGUCGUCCGAGUUGUAAUCUGGAGAAGCGUUUUCAGUGCCGGCCCGCGUACAAGUCCCCUGGAACGGGGCGUCGCAGAGGGUGAGAAUCCCGUCUCUGACGCGGUCGUGCCGGCACGUUGCGAUGCGCUCUCGAAGAGUCGAGUUGUUUGGGAAUGCAGCUCAAAACGGGUGGUAAAUUCCAUCUAAAGCUAAAUACUGGCGAAAGACCGAUAGCGAACAAGUACCGUGAGGGAAAGAUGAAAAGCACUUUGGAAAGAGAGUCAAACAGUACGUGAAAUUGUUGAAAGGGAAACGCUUGAAGUCAGUCGCGUCUCUCGGGACUCAGUCGCGCCGUCAAAGGCGCGGCGUACUUCCCGGGUCUGGACGGGCCAGCGUCGAUUUCGACCGUCGUACAAAGGCGUGAGGAACGUGGCACCUUCGGGUGUGUUAUAGCCUCGCGUCCCGUAUGCGACGGUGGGGAUCGAGGAUUGCAGCGCGCCGUUUUAACGGUCGGGGUUCGCCCACGUAACGCGCUUGGGAUGCUGGCUUAAUGGCUUCAA
rnacentral:rRNA from 1 species